rnacentral:snoRNA from 1 species
CAGUCCGGCCUCUGAUGAGGCACAUUAGGCACAUCUGAGUGCUAAUGAAUGCCAGCAGCUCUGAUGAAAAACA